UAAACCAACAGACAACAGGGGUAAGAAAAGAGUUUUUAUGCAGCUUGCAUUUAUUGUGUUGGUUUCAACUUUCCAAGUUUGGUGGCUCCAUUGGCAUCAAUUAAACGAGAUAACUGCAUGGGGCCCCAUCGUAUAAGUAUAUCAUAAAAAUUAUUCCUGGAAAUUCGAUGGACCAAUCCAUGCAGGUAAGAAAAUAAUUAUGUUUCUCCAGUUAUUGACUACUAUUACAUACAGUGCAUGCUGCCUCAGUGUGGGACCUGACAUCCUGUGGUUAGACACCAUUCAAAAUGUUGAACAGCUCCAUCUUUUGAAUAUGUGUGUGUGGGUGUUGUUGCAUAAACUUUGCUAUUUGAUGUGGUUGAUUUAAACCUGGCUGCGGUGCUGAUUAUGACAUCUAAUGAACUCUGAUCUUUCUGGCUUAAUUCUAUAGAUCUAGACUUAGGCUGUAUAAUGACUGAUUCUAAUGAAGAGCAGGCUGCCACAGGCAAUGAACAAGAUGACUUUGAAUUCUCGAAGGCCUAUAUGAUCCAGUUAUAAGCCACUCAUGGAAACAGAUUCGAGAGGCUAACGAAGAUAAAUAUUCAUUUUGCUCAAACAAGUUAAAGAAGAAGAGGAAACACUACCCUAUAGUCAGAUCAAGAAAAUGCACCGAGUUAUUCAGGGAAAGGGAAUCGUGUCAACUCAAUUCAGGAGUGACCAAGAGGGCCAUAAUGAGCCUUUUGAUAAGAUAAGUCAAGCCGGAUACAAAGUACAGGUAAUCGUACAAACUCAAACAUUAGAUCUCUACAAUCAUGCCAUUGCAGGAUAAUGUUUCAAAGUCAGAAACAAAGCCGUCUGGAAUUCCAGUGCCAUUGCUGUCUGCAUAUCUCAUCAGUGUACAUGAACAGCGUGCUUUCAACUCAUUGGACAACUCUCUCCGGUCGUUUGUUAUACAGGGAAUCAAUAGAAUCGAUUCCUCUUUGAAUGUUGGUUUGUUGAUCUAUUAACUUCACUGAGCAUGGAGUUUCUUUUCGUCUCACGCUGUGGGUUGCACUUCAGUGAUGGUAUACAGUGGGUAUACUGGUGCAGUUGUGAUAGUGCACGUGGCAACUUACUAAAUAGCUGCUCCACUUCGGUUGAUUCCACAUAUGAUGCAUUCACAAGCAUUGUUGGCUCUGAAUGUAUCCACAUCGAACCAACUAGACUGAUUAUCCAAGAGACUGACAAUAUUCACAACAUUACAUCAGCUCAAGAAUUAUCAGAUCAUUCGUAUACUUUGAAUAUCGAACCUCACAAGGAGGACACCUCCUACAGUAUAAAUGUUGGCACAGAGGUUGUAUGCUCUAUUGGGCAGGCGGUAUGUACAAGAGCUGAUAUAGUGGCCAUGGUGUUGUACAAGUUCGUAUUGAUGAUAAACAAUUAAGGGGUCUGUACUGUUGUACAUGCAUGCAAGUACAAUAAACAGCACAGUUCACAUGUGGACAUUGUCGAGAAAGCAUUGAAUAGCCCGGAUGAGGAUAAACAUGACUGCCUCAAUAAAAUUGCAAAAGAUCUGUCUAGUGUGCAGCAGAAUAGACAAGUGCAUGUGCAUCAGUAUCGGUCCCUUAAUUUCAUCAAGCAGUAUAUACCGUUCAAUUUAUCAAGUGAAUUGUCUCAACAACUGGCAUGUACUGUAGCUGAUCGCUUCAACAUUGUAAACAACACUUCUAUUUUGGGCUCAGUUGACACAUAUUGUAAAGUGUGCAGUACGCUUACACGAGAUGAAGAAGACAAGCAGGAAUCUGUACGGAUCAAAAUUAUACUGCUCAAUACAGUUAUCAAUGCGAAUGUGCAUGUUAGGUAUUGCUCAGGAUGUAAGAAAUGUAAAGAAUUUGAUGGCCAACUAGUAGGAUUAGUGACUAUGGGCAAGUUCCUGGUAUCCUAUGAAGUUCUGUGAGGUUUUAUGCAUCAAUUCCUUUUGGGAAGAACAACUAUAUAUACCCAGUAUUGUGUGUUGGUUAAAAACCAUGAAGAUGCAGGAUUCGGCGAUCAGUUUAAUAAGUAUAUGUUUACAUACAAUCACUAUCGGUUGUCGUGGUAUGCCUUUCUUGACCGGUUAGACAUUGAUUAUCAAGUAGGAUUUCAGUGCACUGCGUGUGGAGAUUGUCCACCCAUUGUUGUCAUGGAUGCUACUUGUUUAGCAUUCAGAAAAGACCUUAUGCCCUGGAAGUCCCAACUCAACGGUUCUGGAGUUCAUAAAACCUCAUCCCCUAUCAGCUGUACUGGAA